UUCCAUCUGCAUUCCCUGUGAAGCCAACUUCUCCGAGAAUCAGUUCACCCAGAGCUGCAUCUCCUAGGAGUUCUUAUACGGCUGCAUCUCCUAGUGCUACUUCUCCAAGGAUCCCAUCUCUGAGGGUUGCUUCUUCAAGCGUCAUCUCUCCUAGGGCAGCUUCUCCAAAGGCUACCUCUCAUAGGGCAGCUUCUCCAAAGGCUACCUCUCCUAGGGCAGCUUCUCCAAAGGCUACCUCUCCUAGGGCAGCUUCUCCAAAGGCUACCUCUCAUAGGGCAGCUUCUCCAAACGCUACCUCUCUUAGGGCAGCUUCUCCAAAGGCUAUCUCUCCUAGGGCAGCUUCUCCAAAGUCUCUUUCUCCUAGGGCAGCUUCUCUAAAGGCUAUCUCUCCUAGAGCUACUUAUCCCGAGGUGAGUGAGAAACACAAAGAGAUUAGCUAUGCUAACAAACCAGAACCAACUUUGACGCUCCAUCUUGCAGCAACCAAGAUACAGGCAGCCUACAGACGGCACGUGGUAAGGUUCAAGAUAACUCCCUCAUGCAAUGUUUGGCUGAAAAUAGCCUUUAACAAUAUAGCUCGAUUUUUGCGAGCUAGCUAGAUCUUGAGUGAUAAGUUUAAGUCAUGUUAUUGCAAACUCAUAAUUAGCCUGCCAAGUAAUCAUUUCUAUGUCUACUGCAACUAUUUAUUUCUGACAAAGACAAGCAUCAAACAGAAAUAAUAAAUAAUUAUGUGAUAAGCUUUGUGCUCUGUUAAAUAUUUGUGGCUCUCUUAUUAGUCUAAGAUUUGGGUGCUUUUUCUGUGGAGAAAUUCCCUACUGUAUGUUACAGAACCUGGGAACAGGUAAACAAAUUUUUAUCCCUCUGAUCAAAGCAUGUUUGAGUUUCAUCCAGUGGUUUCAGGGCGCAUUUCUACAUAAGAAGUUAGUUUCUACCACGGUCGGUCUUAUUACUGCAGUUCCACUUGAUCUGUAUAAAUCCUUUGAUCUUCUAUAAUUUUUUCUUUAUGAUAGUUUGACUUGACCAUUGAAGCUUCACGAUUCAUUCUUACAUUCUCAGCUUCUGGAGAUCUUAUACCUUUGACUAUUUCUUUUAGUAGAUUGACUGUGAAACAGAUAAAAUUUAACUGAUCGUGAAAAGGCCACUUUCCUCGGCCGAGAACUCCUUUCUUUUUGAAAUUUUGACAAAGACAAAGUAACUUGCAGAUUAUCUGAAAUAGGGUAUAAAACAAGAGAGAUUAAAAUUCUUGUAAAAGUAAUCAAGACCCCUAAUCUUUUUAAAUCGUUUUCAAGAAACUAGUGAGUUAUCCCCCAUUUCCGGUUCUAAUAACUUUACUGCUAAAAAAUAGUUUUCCUCAAUGUCUGAAUCAUGCUCGUGAAGCAUGGAAAAUUCAGAGUCUGCAAUCAUCUGUCACAAGCUUCUUGAAAAUUCGAGUAAUUUAGUUCUUAUCAACUUGUGAGAAAACUUUAUAUGUCAAAUUAAACAAUAUAGAGUUGUGUGUCCUAAUUGUUACUCGUCUUGAUUUAAGUAGGGGGUGAAUAGAAAUUCAUUGUUCAUAAAAAGAUUAAAAAGAAAAACAUUAGAGUCCUUUCCCAUUUUCUCCCUUUCCCGGAGCAGUUCAUAUUGGUGGGACAAGAAUGUAUUUGCUUCCAAAGAGAGUAUAUCAAUUGCUAAUAAUAAAGUGUGGAAACACUAUAGAUCCUCCUAAUUUGGGAGGGAAUUAAAAAAAAAAAAAAAUUGCUAUUAAUAAUUGUUGUAUGUCCUAUGUGAAUGUGCUCUGCUUCACAGGGAAGGAGGAGUUUCAAGUCUUUGAGGGGUUUAGCAAGACUUCAAGGAGUGGUCAGAAACAGAAAUGCAAAGCGGCAGACAGUAAAUGCCAUGAAACAAAUGCAGCUUCUAGUUAGGGUUCAAAUGCAAAUUCAGUCAAGGAGAACUCAGAUGUUCCAGGCACUCCAAAGUCAAGCUUACACGAAUGAUAAAGAAGCUGAGAGCACCCUAAGCAAAUGGACUAAGUUGGUAAGUUUAAACUGCUAAAUAUCUUGAGGUGCUCACCUAUUUAGUGGUGGUGAUUUAGGCUGAUGCCAUAUCUUGGAGUCACUGUUUGCCUACAUUCUUGAGUUGAUUUAAUUUUAUUCAAUUAAAUUGUGUGUUUUUCCUCAUUGUUGGUGCUUUUACUCCUUGAUUAUCUUGUGAAAGAAUUGAUAUGUUCUUCCGAUGGUCAAAGAUGGUAUGCAACUUCUUCAACAAUGCCAAUUUAGAUUCUAGGAUUCGCUUUGUACAUAUACUGUGGUGUAAAGGAUGUGAGAGUUAUCGAAUUGAAGUUCUUUUCUUUUUCAAACAUAUUUUGAAUUACCUCUGAUGUUGAAAAGGAAAUUUUGGUUUAGACCGAGGCAGGUAACCAUGAUGAUUGGGAUAAUAGUGUGCUAACUAAAGAAGAGGUAGAAGCAAGGCGUCGAGAAAAAGUGGAGGCUGUAAUCAAGAGGGAGAGAGCAAUGACCUAUGCAU
rnacentral:lncRNA from 1 species